ACUGCACUUAAACGCACCAACCGACACUCUCCGCACAGCCAGACGGAGGAACCACUGAAGGAAUCCAGAAGUUGACUGAGCCAAGUUCACAUACCGUAAAGAAGGAGGAGUAACGAGCCCAUUCUUAAACAAGGAGGGUUAACUGCCGCAGAAUAUCGAGCUCGGUGCCACGGGGGGAGCCUC